rnacentral:rRNA from 1 species
AAUUUUAAGGUCAAGCUACAAAGGGCGCAUGGUGAAUGCCUUGGCACUAGGAGCCGAAGAAGGACGCGAUAAGCUGCGAUAAGCCUUGGGUAGCCGCAAAUAGGCUGAGAUCCAGGGAUUUCCGAAUGAGGAAACUCACAUGGGUAACCCCAUGUAUUAUGCACUGAAUACAUAGGUGUAUAAGGGUAAACCCGGGGAACUGAAACAUCUAAGUACCCGGAGGAAGAGAAAGAAAAAUCGAUUUCCUAAGUAGCGGCGAGCGAACGGGAAAGAGCCCAAACCAGAAACUUGUUUCUGGGGUUGUGGAUAGAUCAUAAAAGAAGAGGUAUCUUAAUCGAAGAGGGCUGGAACGCCCUACCAUAGAAGGUAAUAGUCCUGUAGGUAAAAAGAGAAAACUUCGAGAUCUAAUCCAGAGUACCACGAGACACGUGAAACCUUGUGGGAAGCAGGGAGGACCACCUCCCAAGGCUAAAUACUACCUAGUGACCGAUAGUGAAGCAGUACCGUGA